AAACUAACCAGGAUUCCCCUAGUAACGGCGAGUGAAGAGGGAAAAGCCCAAAUUUGUAAUCUGGCUCUUUCAGAGUCCGAGUUGUAAUUUUAAGAACUGUUUUCCGUGCUGGACCAUUUCUAAGUCUGUUGAAAAAUAGCAUCAUUGAGGGUGAUAAUCCCGUUCAUGAUAUGGACUGCCAGUGCAAUGUGAUACAGUUUCUAAGAGUCGAGUUGUUUGGGAAUGCAGCUCAAAGUGGGUGGUAAAUUCCAUCUAAGGCUAAAUAUAGGUGAGAGACCGAUAGCAUACAAGUACCGUGAGGGAAAGAUGAAAAGAACUUUGGAAAGAGAGUUAACAGUACGUGAAAUUGUUGUAAGGGAAACAAUUAAAGUUAGCCUUGUGCUUGUUAGUUCAGCUCUUUAACUAGGGUGUAUUCUAACAAUGUCACGGACCAACAUCAGUUUUUGGGUGCUGGAUAAGGGCUCCGGAAAUGUAGCAGUCUCGGCUGUGUUAUAGUCCGGGGUUUGGAUACAGUGCCUGGGACUGAGGAGAUCUGCAGCAAGCCAGUCAAAUGGCCGCCCUUUUUAAGGGCUCCCCUGCUGAGGAUGUUGGUGUCAAUAGCUUUAACUGAC
rnacentral:rRNA from 1 species